UACGAAGGGCGCAAGCGUUGUCCGGAAUUAUUGGGCGUAAAGAGCUCGUAGGCGGUUUGUCGCGUCAGCUGUGAAAUCCCGAGGCUCAACCUCGGGCUUGCAGUGGGUACGGGCAGACUAGAGUGCGGGAGGGGAGACUGGAAUUCCUGGUGUAGCGGUGGAAUGCGCAGAUAUCAGGAGGAACACCGAUGGCGAAGGCAGGUCUCUGGGCCGCAACUGACGCUGAGGAGCGAAAGCAUGGGGAGCGAACAGG
rnacentral:rRNA from 1 species